UACAGAGGUCCCAAGCGUUGUUCGGAUUCAUUGGGCGUAAAGGGUGUGUAGGCGGCGCCGUAAGUCAGGUGUGAAAUCUCGGGGCUUAACUCCGAAACUGCAUUUGAUACUGCGGUGCUUGAGGACUGGAGAGGAGACUGGAAUUUACGGUGUAGCGGUGAAAUGCGUAGAUAUCGUAAGGAAGACCAGUGGCGAAGGCGGGUCUCUGGACAGUUCCUGACGCUGAGGCACGAAGGCCAGGGGAGCAAACGGG
rnacentral:rRNA from 1 species